rnacentral:lncRNA from 1 species
CACAGCUUUGAUCGCCACAUCACCAACCACCAACUCCUGCUUCUUGCCAUCUCGCCAUCUUAACAAUCAUGGACUGUCACCUCGCACCAUCCCACUAGCACUGGACAGUCCCAAGCGGACUGUCCCACCUGAGGAAAUGGAUCUACUUAGUCACGGGGCUCACACCACAUCAGCCCCAUCAUUGCAGCCACCCUGUGACUCAGACUGGGAUGCUUGGGGCAGAAAAGG